rnacentral:tRNA from 1 species
GGCAGCGGGCGCCAGGAUCCGAGUAGUGCCUGGUCAGGGGCGUGUGCCGCGCAGACUGUAAAUCUGCCGGCUCAGCCUUCCCAGGUUCGAAUCCUGGCGCCGCCA